rnacentral:rRNA from 1 species
GGACCCGCACAAGUAGUGGAGCAUGUGGUUUAAUUCGAUGCAACGCGAAGAACCUUACCAGGGUUUGACAUCCUGCGAAUCUCUUGGAAACAGGAGAGUGCCUUCGGGAACGCAGUGACAGGUGGUGCAUGGCUGUCGUCAGCUCGUGUCGUGAGAUGUUGGUUAAGUCCCGCAACGAGCGCAACCCACGUCUUUAGUUGCCAGCAUUUAGUUGGGCACUCUAGAGAGACUGCCGGUGAUAAACCGGAGGAAGGUGUGGAUGACGUCAAGUCAUCAUGCCCCUUACAUCCUGGGCUACACACGUACUACAAUGCUACGGACAAAGGGCAGCAAGUUCGCGAGGACAAG